UGUGGCCUGGCCUGAGGCCUGGUGGUCUUGGGUGACCUGGCAAGGGAGCAGACAGUCAUCAGAAGGUGGACAGUGCUGUGUGCAGCCCCAGGAGUCUUCAGGGGCUGAGCAGUGUGAAAGGGACACUUCCUGACUGGCUUUGUCCUCAGCACUCAGCUCUGCUCCUUUCUGGUUCUGAGGCUCAGUUAUGAGGGGACCCAGCAGGCAAGGCCCUUUCCCUGGCUUCCCCUCUGCAUCCCGAAAUGCUGUCAGGCGGAGGAGCCUGUUGAGCCGGGGCCCUCCCUGCCUUCCCUGCUGUGUGCACCUACUUCCAGGCUGCCUCAGGGCCCAGGGUCUUCUGUGUCCCUCAGAUCAUCUUGACAGAAUGCACUUCCAGCUCUCCCACUCUGCCAGAGACCACCUUAGAGAAACUGGGUCCCAGGACAGUCCCCACACCAAGACCUCGGACCCUGGCUGGCAGUGGGAAGGCUUGGAACGGUCCACAGGCCUUGCUGGGACUAGCAGAUGAGGUAUUCUGGCCCAGAAGCAGCUCAGUGUCUGGAAAGGAACCAGCAAUUCUACCAAGCCCACACAGCGUGGAAGCCAGGGUUCUCUAUCUUCGGGGACCAUCCCCGGAUGAGACCCAGAAGACUCUUACAGUUGAGACCUACUCAGAAGAGACCCUUCAAAACUCUAAAUGUGACACUCAAGCUUGCAGUAGGGGACCACGGGCCAUCGGCACGGGCAGCACAGCACAGGAUGCUACCCCGAGACGGAUGGACAGCCUGGAGGAGACACUUCAGGAACUAGAAGCCACCCUGAGCGAGAUGGGCGCCAAAUCGAUUAUGACGUGUUCAGGCAGCCCCCAACCCCUCCGUCCCCACCCCCAGGUGGCUGCCAUCCUCCUCUUCUCCCGUGCUGCCUUCCUGCUCCAGCCUCUGGGCCUGCAGAGUUGGGGAGCAGGGCCACAGGAGCUCUGCCCACCUCCCUCAUCCCAUGUCUAGAUUUCAGCCUACCAUGCUCUGGGAGCCUUCAUCCAGGCCAAGGCCUAUGGGCAGAGCCAGGGGCGGCCGGGAAGCCGGCCCACCCAGGACUCAGCUCUGCUACUCGGGCAUGAACCAAGUGUGCUCUGUCCCUGUCUGCUCUCUGUAAGCCAGAGAAUAAAGCUUUCUCCUCUCUCCCA